rnacentral:rRNA from 1 species
GACGGAGGAUGCAAGCGUUAUCCGGAAUUAUUGGGCGUAAAGCGUACGUAGGCGGCUUAUCAAGUCUGGGGUCAAAGACCACAGCUUAACUGUGGAAAGGCCUUGGAAACUAGUGAGCUGGAGUGAGGUAGGGGUUGCGGGAAUUCCCGGUGUAGCGGUGAAAUGCGUAGAUAUCGGGAAGAACACCUGAGGCGAAAGCGCGCGACUUGGUCUUAACUGACGCUGAGGUCCGAAAGCUAGGGGAGCGAAUGGG